ensembl:lncRNA
UGAUUCUCUGUUCUAUCCCCGGGACAUUCUGAUUCUCUGUUCUAUCCCCAGGACAUUCUGAUUCUCUGUUCUAUCCCCGGGACAUUCUGAUUCUCUGUUCUAUCCCCGGGACAUUCUGAUUCUCUGUUCUAUCCCCGGGACAUUCUGAUUCUCUGUUCUCUCCCCGGGACAUUCUGAUCCUCCGUUCUCUCCCCGGGACAUUCUGAUCCUCCGUUCUCUCUCUGUCGGAUACAUGGGGAUAAGGCUAUAGCCUCAACCUUUUACUACGUCUUUUUAUAACGGACACUGUCUUGUGUCUAGCUGUUUAAAAAAUAAAGUCUAUAUUCCAUUCUCUCUCCCUUCAAUAGGCUAUGAAUAUGACGGAAGGCUACGCUUCAUCAUUUUUAAUGCUCGGCUUUCUCCAGAUCAAGCAAUGAGUUCCAUCUCAAAACAAGCCUAAGAACGUAAGAUAGCCAGAAUGACAAGUUGACAAGCUUAAUAAAGAAUGAAAUGAUUCAUGCCGAAAAUCCCUCCAUGCGAGGUUUAAAACCAAAUGGCCAAUAAGCUAUACUCCUACUGGCCUAUCGUAACAGCUUUAAGACGAGCUAAAGUUAUGAACAGUGGCUUAUUUCCCAAAUAUUCUAGCCGACGAAGAUGUUGUCUUGGCUUUCAAAAGUAACAAGACUAAAAGCCAACAGCCUAGGCUUCUUGACACACUGCUUGCUUAACCCCUUGUGUCAGAGGAAACACCUUACAACUGGUGACACAAGUCAGCUUGCAUGCGCCCGGGUCUGCCACAAGGAGUCGCUAGAGCGCGAUUGGGAUAAGAACAUCCCGGGCCGGCCAAAUGCUCACCUAACCCGGACGAUGCUGGGACAAUUGUUCGCCGCUUCAUGGGUCUCCCGGUCGCGUCCGGCUGCAACACUGCUUGGGAUUGAACCCGGGUUUGUAUAAAGGCCUCUAGCGAUGCAGGGCCUUAAACCACUGCGCCAUUCAGAAGGCCACAUAUGCGAGGGCUUUUGGGCCCUUGCUUCUGCUCAGGGGCAGGGUUAAGUGCUGUUUCUUCUACUGGUACAGCAGAUGUAUGUGCCGGACAGCUAGUUGAUAGUUUCCUUCCCAAGGAGGUAGCGUGUCUCUCCCAAGCCCGACAGUUUAUUAUCUCAGCAUAGUCACUCAACUGUACCUCCGCACAUUGUAUGUAUGUAGCCUCGUUAUUGUUAUUACAUUGUGUUACUUUUUAUUAUUUUUACAUUAGAGUUUUUAUUUGGUAAAUAUUUUCUUUACUCUUUCUUGAACUGCACCGUUGGUUAAGGGCUUGUAAGUAAGAAUUUCGCAGUAAGGUCUACACCUGUUGUAUAAUAUUGUAUUCAAGGGCAUGUUUACCUUUAUUUAACUAAGCAAGUCAGUUAAGAACAAAUUCUUAUUUUCAAUGACAGCCUAGGAACAGUGGGUUAACUGCCUGUUCAGGGGCAGAACGACAGAUUUGUACCUUGUCAGCUCGGGGGUUUGAACUUGCAACCAUCCGGUUACUAGUCCAACGCCCUAACUACUAGGCUACCCUGCCGCCCCUGGUGGGUGGAGCUACACUACAACUAGCCGGUAGGGACAGGUGGGUGGAGCUACACUACAACUACAGGUGGGUGGAGCUGUUUUUGUUUCGUCAUUAUGGUGUAUUGGUGUGUAGAUUAAUGAGGGAAAAAGUAUUUCAUCCAUUUUAGAAUAAGGCUGUAAUGUAACAAAAUGUCAAAGGGUCUGAAUACUUUCUGAAUGCACUGUAUGCCAGGCCUAUUGAAAGUGGGAAUAUAUACUACACCACAACGACAGGUGGGUGGAGCUACACUACAACUAGCCGGGAGGGACAGUCAACUCCGUGACAGUAGAUAAAACAAGGGGAUAAAGCAGCACACAAGUAAA